UUGCCUACGGGACGCAGCAGUGGGGAAUAUUGCACAAUGGGGGAAACCCUGAUGCGGCAACGCCGCGUGAGUGAAGAAGGUUUUCGGAUUGUAAAGCUCUGUUAGCAGGGAAGAGGAAGGACGGUACCUGCAGAGGAAGCCACGGCUAACUACGUGCCAGCAGCCGCGGUAAUACGUAGGGUGCGAGCGUUAAUCGGAAUUACUGGGCGUAAAGGGUGCGCAGGCGGUUGAGUAAGACAGAUGUGAAAUCCCCGAGCUUAACUCGGGAAU
rnacentral:rRNA from 1 species